UGUGCCAUAGCCAAGUCGGUUAAGGCAAGGGACUUUGACUCCCUGAUCGUGUGUUCGAAUCACACUGGCACAA
rnacentral:tRNA from 1 species